GACGUCGAAUAUCGACGUCAUAAACACCAAAGUUGAUCGUGUUUAUGGCGUCGAAUAUCGACGUCAUAAACACCAAAGUUGAUCGUGUUUAUGACGUCGAAUAUCGACGUCAUAAACACCAAAGUUGUUCGUGUUUAUGACGUCGAAUAUCGACGUCAUAAACACCAAAGUUGUUCGUGUGUAUGACGUCGAAUAUCGACGUCAUAAACACCAAAGUUGAUCGUGUUUAUGACGUCGAAUAUCGACGUC
rnacentral:miRNA from 1 species